rnacentral:ribozyme from 1 species
AUCAUCACCGAAAAAAUACGUCAGGCUGUUUAAAUCAGAAAACUGUUCUGAUGACUUUGUUGGUCUAUAAAUAAAUUCUAUCGGUUGUUUUUGGAACUUGAACUUUUUUAGUCCUUUGUUUUAAUUACGCACUACUAAAAGUAUUGAAAAAAACAUUUUCAUUUUUCUGAUC